AUCAAAGGGUAAUCCCAUGUGCCUGAAUAUGUUUGUCAAAAUUAUCAAUAGCCAAAUAGUUGGGACUCGACGCACACGUACACCGAAAUGAUUAAAAUGGAGCUCAAUUUUUACACAUAGUUUUGUGAGAGAUUUGAGAUCAUUGCCACUCAGAUUACAGGUCUGCAACACUUUGUUUCGCAUCAAAUGGUACACAGCGUCUGGUAAUGUCAUCAGUUGACAUUCGGAAAGAUCCAAAUGUUUUCUUCCUUUGCAUCCUCGUCCGGCAAGUGGCGAGAAUGUUUUGGUUGGAAACCAGCACGGGCAAUGUGCGCUGUCAGUCUUGGAUCGUCUAUGUUUUCGGGGGAACUGUCAUUGAGUCAUUGUCAUUAACCAAAAGAUGCCUAAAAGCAUCUGCAACGUAUCAGUACACAAUACACAAAACCCAAUAAAAAUCCACUAAUGUUAGCUUGAGCCAAAACCAAAUAAAAACCCAUAAAAUAAGAAA